rnacentral:rRNA from 1 species
UACGGAGGGUGCAAGCGUUACUCGGAAUCACUGGGCGUAAAGCGCGCGCAGGCGGUCUUUUAAGUUGGAUGUGAAAGCCUACGGCUCAACCGUAGAACUGCAUCCAAAACUAUUAGACUAGAGUGUGGGAGAGGAAGAUGGAAUUAGUUGUGUAGGGGUAAAAUCCGUAGAGAUAACUAGGAAUACCAAAAGCGAAGGCAAUCUUCUGGAACACUACUGACGCUGAGGCGCGAAAGCGUGGGGAGCAAACAGGAUUAGAAACCCGAGUAGUCC